rnacentral:rRNA from 1 species
AUUGAACGCUGGCGGCAGGCCUAACACAUGCAAGUCGAGCGGAUGAAGGGAGCUUGCUCCUGGAUUCAGCGGCGGACGGGUGAGUAAUGCCUAGGAAUCUGCCUGGUAGUGGGGGAUAACGUCCAGAAACGGGCGCUAAUACCGCAUACGUCCUGAGGGAGAAAGUGGGGGAUCUUCGGACCUCACGCUAUCAGAUGAGCCUAGGUCGGAUUAGCUAGUUGGUGGGGUAAAGGCCUACCAAGGCGACGAUCCGUAACUGGUCUGAGAGGAUGAUCAGUCACACUGGAACUGAGACACGGUCCAGACUCCUACGGGAGGCAGCAGUGGGGAAUAUUGGACAGUGGGCGAAAGCCUGAUCCAGCCAUGCCGCGUGUGUGAAGAAGGUCUUCGGAUUGUAAAGCACUUUAAGUUGGGAGGAAGGGCAGUAAGUUAAUACCUUGCUGUUUUGACGUUACCAACAGAAUAAGCACCGGCUAACUUCGU